rnacentral:lncRNA from 1 species
AAAGAUCAUCAAAGGCUGUCCCAGCCCCUCUGCCAGGACAGGACACACCUUCCACUAGACCAGGUUGCUCAGAGCCCCAUGCGGUGUAUACUCAUUGCUCAAGCGAAGUGAGAAAAGCUUUGUCUCAUGCUGUUGCUUAUCUCCUCUGCUCUUGUCCUAGGAAGAUUUUUCAGGAUAGCGGCAUUUCAAAAAGUGUCUAAAUUGAUCGAAGAUAAUUGAAGAGUACAAGGGAUAGAUGGGAAAGAGGGAGAAAAUAACAAGAAGAAGGACAGGUAAGAUGAGUUUUAUGCAUCUGAUAUUUAAAAAAAAUCUUCCAGUGUCCUGAUUAUUCACUUAUUUUGCAACUGUCCAAUUCUUUUUAGUAAGACCAUCAACUUGGACUGACAGGAAGGAGAUAAUAGCCUUAGGUUGGCUUAUGUAAGAUGUUAAACUCACUAAAAAUUUCUGUGCUUAUGAAUGUAUAUCAUCAUACAUUGCACUUCUAAAAGUCUGCUUUUUAUAUGCUAUGUCUGCCUGACAUUUAAAAAAGAAUUAUCAGCCUUUUCUGAUAUCUAAGUGUCUCAUACUCUUUUGAAAACCAUGAUCAUUGUACAUUUUGGAGUACAAAUUGAGAUUUUGUUUUUAUCCUGUUGUAGAGUAGAUGCCUGCUUCUAAGUUUUUGGAUACUUUGCAGCAGUCUGAUUUGGUGUUAGACAAAUAAUACAGAUGAUUAAUUGCUUUAUUGAUGGAAAUGGCCAGGAGACCUAGAGAGACACAUCUAGAAGAAUAAAUUUGGCUGUAAUUGGUCUGUGACCUUUCA